AGCUUUGCGCACUGGCAGUAUCAUAGCCAAUGAGGUUUAUCCAAGGUGCGAUUACUGCCAAUUGAAAACUUUUCCCAACACCCCACCAUGACGACUUGAAAUAUAGCAGCGUUGGCAAUUUUUGGCAGUCUCUACGGAGA
rnacentral:snRNA from 1 species